CCUGUAGCUCAAACAGUAAAGAAUCUGCCUGCAAAGCAGGAGACCAGGGUUCGACCCCUGGGUCAGGA
rnacentral:tRNA from 1 species